UACGGAGGGUGCGAGCGUUGUCCGGAAUCACUGGGCGUAAAGGGCGCGUAGGCGGCGCGGGAAGUCAUCGGUGAAAGUUCAGGGCUCAACUCUGAAUCGGCCGGUGAUACUCUCGUGCUCGAGCACUGUAGAGGCAGGUGGAAUUCCGGGUGUAGCGGUGGAAUGCGUAGAGAUCCGGAAGAACACCGGCGGCGAAGGCGGCCUGCUGGGCAGUAGCUGACGCUGAUGCGCGACAGCGUGGGGAGCAAACAGG
rnacentral:rRNA from 1 species